rnacentral:rRNA from 1 species
AGACUCCUACGGGAGGCAGCAGUGGGGAAUAUUGCGCAAUGGGGGAAACCCUGACGCGGCCAUGCCGCGUGUGUGAAGAAGGCCUUAGGGUUGUAAAGCACUUUCAAUUGGGAAGAAAGGUUACUGGUUAAUAGCCAGUAGCUGUGACAUUACCUUUAGAAGAAGCACCGGCUAACUCCGUGCCAGCAGCCGCGGUAAUACGGAGGGUGCAAGCGUUAAUCGGAAUUACUGGGCGUAAAGCGCGCGUAGGCGGCUUUGUAAGUCGGAUGUGAAAGCCCUGGGCUUAACCUGGGAAUGGCAUUCGAAACUGCAGAGCUAGAGUACGAGAGAGGGAGGUAGAAUUCCAUGUGUAGCGGUGAAAUGCGUAGAUAUAUGGAGGAAUACCAGUGGCGAAGGCGGCCUCCUGGCUCGAUACUGACGCUGAGGUGCGAAAGCGUGGGGGAUCAAACAGGAUUAGAUACCCUGGGUAGUCCACGCCGUAAACGAUGUCAACUAGCCGUUGGGAGACUUGAUUUCUUAGUGGCGCAGCUAACGCAAUAAGUUGACCGCCUGGGGAGUACGGCCGCAAGGUUAAACUCAAUGAAUUGACGGGGGCCCGCACAAGCGG